AGUGGGGAAUCUUGCGCAAUGGGCGAAAGCCUGACGCAGCGACGCCGCGUGAGUGAUGAAGGCCUUCGGGUUGUAAAGCUCUGUGGAGAGGGACGAAUAAGUGUUGGCUAACAUCCAGCAUGAUGACGGUACCUCUUUAGCAAGCACCGGCUAACUCUGUGCCAGCAGCCGCGGUAAGACAGAGGGUGCAAACGUUGUUCGGAAUUACUGGGCGUAAAGCGCGUGUAGGCGGCUUGGCAAGUCGGGUGUGAAAGCCCCGGGCUCAACCUGGGAAGUGCACUCGAAACUGCUUGGCUUGAGUACUGGAGAGGGAAGCGGAAUUCUCGGUGUAGAGGUGAAAUUCGUAGAUAUCGAGAGGAACACCGGUGGCGAAGGCGGCUUCCUGGACAGUGACUGACGCUGAGACGCGAAAGCGUGGGGAGCAAA
rnacentral:rRNA from 1 species